AUGAACGCUGGCGGCGUGCCUAAUACCUGCAAGUCGAGCGAACAGACGAGGAGCUUGCUCCUUUGACGUUAGCGGCGGACGGGUGAGUAACACGUAGGUAACCUACCUAUAAGACUGGGAUAACUUCGGGAAACCGGAGCUAAUACCGGAUAAUAUUUCGAACCGCCUGGUUCGAUAGUGAAAGAUGGCUUUGCUAUCACUUAUAGAUGGACCUGCGCCGUAUUAGCUAGUUGGUAAGGUAACGGCUUACCAAGGCAACGAUACGUAGCCGACCUGAGAGGGUGAUCGGCCACACUGGAACUGAGACACGGUCCAGACUCCUACGGGAGGCAGCAGUAGGGAAUCUUCCGCAAUGGGCGAAAGCCUGACGGAGCAACGCCGCGUGAGUGAUGAAGGUCUUCGGAUCGUAAAACUCUGUUAUUAGGGAAGAACAAACGUGUAAGUAACUGUGCACGUCUUGACGGUACCUAAUCAGAAAGCCACGGCUAACUACGUG
rnacentral:rRNA from 1 species